rnacentral:pre_miRNA from 1 species
AUAGAAAUCAUCUGGGAAUCUUGUUAAAAUGCAGAUUCUGAUUCAGAGCCUGCAUUUCUAACAUGCUCUCAAAUGAUGCCAGU